AACUCCCGUACGGACUCGGAAGAGGCGAAGGUCGAGAGUCGUGCGUCCUCCGGCUGGGAUGCCAAGCCUCACUGCUUCUUGACACAAUGCUCGCUUAACCUGGAAGCCAGCCGCACCAAAGUGUUGGAGGAAACACUGACACACCUGGCGACCGUGUCAGCGUGCAUGCACCCGGCCAGCCACAGAAGUCUCUAGAGCGCGAUGGGACAAGGACAUUCCAGCCGGCCAAACCCUCCCCUAAUCCGGACGACGCUAGGGAAAUUGUGCACUCAUCGGUCUCCUGGUCGCGGCAGUUGCGACACAGCCUUGGAUCGAACCAGGACCUGCUAGCACUGCGAUUCAGUGCCUUAGACUGUUGCACUACCCGGGAGGCCAAGUUUUAAAGUUAAAUGGGAAUUUCACCCUGGCUCUGCCACGGAAUAUAGUCAUUACUAUAUUAAUAACAUUACAUUUUUAUCAUAAAUAUCACAAUUAUCCAAACCACAAGCUAGAACUAGCACAUUUUCAUUUCACUGGUAGAAUUGCAAAGUUUUGACUUCCUGUGUAUGUAACGGAUGUGAAAUAGCUAGCUAAUUAGCGGUGGUGCGUGCUAAAUAGCGUUUCAAUCAGUGACGUCACUUGCUCUGAGACCUUGAAGUAGUGGUUCCCCUUGCUCUGCAAGGGCUGCGGCUUUUGUGGAGCGAUGGGUAACGAUGCUUUGUGGGUGACUGUUGUUAAUGUGUGCAGAGGUUCGCGCCCGGGUAUGGGCGGGGGGACGGUCUAAAGUUAUACUGUUACAUUGAUGCUGUUGACCCGGAUCACUGGUUUUCGCGGAAAAGGAGGAGGUCAAAAGGGGGGUGAGUGUAAUGGAUGUGAAAUAGCUAGCUAGUUAGCGGUGGUGCGCGCUAAAUAGCGUUUCAAUCGGUGACGUCACUUGCUCUGAGACCUUGAAGUAGUGGUUCCCCUUGCUCUGCAAGGGUCGCGGCUUUUGUGGAGCGAUGGGUAACGAUGCUUUGUGGGUGACUGUUGUUGAUGUGUGCAGAGGGUCCCUGGUUUGCACCCGGGUAUGGGCGAGGGGACGGUCUAAAGUUAUACUGUUACAUGUAUUCGUCUGCUCAUAGUGAAGCACAAAGUCCAGCAUUCAUAGUGAAUGUAGAUACCGCCCGCUAAGGUAGAUGGGGCAUUCCCACAAACUUCGAUGAUGGCAUUGUGUAUGUACUCAGAACUUUUUUUGUUUACAAUGUUUUUUUUUUACUAACGUUUGUCAUCAUGCCUGUGUGGUGUUCUGUGUUAAUUACAAACAAGCACGAAAAUGAGUUAUCUUUCACCGUUCUACCUUUCCCCAGAUGCUGCCAGUGGCUUGUGGCUAUUAAGAAUGAUGCACCUUACGGUGAAAAAAAAAUACCAGAGGGAUUUUAGGCUGAACUGAGGGGGAAUCCAUUUCGACUCCAGCUGAGAGGUUUUCUUUCACAACAAAUGGAAGAUUCUCGAUUAGAGGUGAAUCCACAGAAUCCACCAACAUGCGCUUUCAACCCGUAGCUCUGCACAAGUUGAAGGUUAUUUGGAGUCAUUCCAGUGCCCUGCUGAAAAAGACCCCAAAGCGGCUGCAUUUUGGGUACACAAGCAUGAGGGACCGGACACCUUGCGGUUAUAGAGCACAACAAGAUUGUGGGACAGAAACCAGCAACGGACACUGAAAGGAGACGUGUAGUACCAGCAAAUAUUCUGCAAGAGGACCAAACAUUUGGUGGUUAAGAAGCUCUACACCACUUUCUGCAAAGUCUUAUCCAGCUGGGCAUUAACCGUAGACAGGACAAAGCACAAAGAGUCUCAGCUUCGCCAGCCCACCAUGCUGAACAUCAUUGCCAAUGUACCAAAGCUGGAUAUAGGACUAUGUCUGCGUUUACACAUGCAGCACAAUUCUGAUAUUUUUUUGUUAACUAAUUGGUAUUUCCACCAAUCAGAUUGGUUCUGAAAAAGAUCUGAUGUGAUUAAGACCAAUUAGUGGAAAAAUAUCAGAAUUGGGCUGCCUGUGUCUCAAAAUAAGUCCAUGUAGAACAGGGGUUUCCAACCCUGUUUCUGGAGAGCUACUCUCCUGUAGGUUUUCACUCCAACCCCAGUUGUAACGCACCUGGAUCAGCUUAUCAACCAGCUAAUUAUUAGAGUCAGGUGUGCUAGAUUAGGAUUGGAGUGAACCUACAGUACGGUAUCUCUCCAGAAACAGGGUUGAAGAGCUCUGAUAUAGAACCACCAUAAAAUAAAUAUGGAUAUUUUCUAUCAA